AAUAGAUACCCGGGUAGUCCACGCCGUAAACGAUGAGUGCUAAGUGUUGGGGGGUUUCCGCCCCUCAGUGCUGCAGCUAACGCAUUAAGCACUCCGCCUGGGGAGUACGGUCGCAAGACUGAAACUCAAAGGAAUUGACGGGGGCCCGCACAAGCGGUGGAGCAUGUGGUUUAAUUCGAAGCAACGCGAAGAACCUUACCAGGUCUUGACAUCCCGGUGACCACUAUGGAGACAUAGUUUCCCCUUCGGGGGCAACGGUGACAGGUGGUGCAUGGUUGUCGUCAGCUCGUGUCGUGAGAUGUUGGGUUAAGUCCCGCAACGAGCGCAACCCUUAUUCUUAGUUGCCAUCAUUCAGUUGGGCACUCUAAGGAGACUGCCGGUGAUAAACCGGAGGAAGGUGGGGAUGACGUCAAAUCAUCAUGCCCCUUAUGACCUGGGCUACACACGUGCUACAAUGGACGGUACAAACGGUUGCCAACCCGCGAGGGGGAGCUAAUCCGAUAAAAACCCGUUCUCAGUUCGGAUUGUAGGCUGCAACUCGCCUACA
rnacentral:rRNA from 1 species